rnacentral:rRNA from 1 species
UACGAAGGGGGCUAGCGUUGCUCGGAAUUACUGGGCGUAAAGCGCACGUAGGCGGCUCUUUAAGUCGGGGGUGAAAUCCUGGAGCUCAACUCCAGAACUGCCUCCGAUACUGAGAGACUUCGAGUCCGGGAGAGGUGAGUGGAACUGCGAGUGUAGAGGUGAAAUUCGUAGAUAUUCGCAAGAACACCAGUGGCGAAGGCGGCUCACUGGCCCGGUACUGACGCUGAGGUGCGAAAGCGUGGGGAGCAAACAGG